AUUGAACGCUGGCGGCAUGCCUAACACAUGCAAGUCGAACGCGUGGCGGACGGGUGAGUAAUGUCUGGGAAACUGCCUGAUGGAGGGGGUUAACUACUGGAACCGGUAGCUAAUACCGCAUACCAUCAGCUUUUCGCAGAUGGGAUGAGCUUGUUGGUGGGUGAACGGCUCACAAAGUCCACGAUCCCUAGCUGGUCUGAGAGGAUGACCAGCCACACUGGAACUGAGACACGGUCCAGACUCCUACGGGAGGCAGCAGUGGGGAAUAUUGCACAAUGGGCGCAAGCCUGAUGCAGCCAUGCCGCGUGUAUGAAGAAGGCCGUCGGGGUGUAAAGUACUUUUAUCGGGGAGGCGUUACCCGAACAAGAAGCACCGGCUAACUCCGUGCCAGCAGCCGCGGUAAUUC
rnacentral:rRNA from 1 species